ACACACAUACAUUUCAUACAACUAUGAAAUCAUACAUAUUCUGAAGUCUGAAUAACAGUGUCUGCUCUGCUUACAUUACAAGGUUGCUAUCAAAUGAUACCACACAGCUAAAUUGCUCUGUAACCAUAAAGUAUCAUGCAAAUCUGAGAUAUUAUUAUCAUAAUGAUAUUUUGGACCAGUAAUUUCAUCUGCAUAGGUGGCUCCCAGUAAGGAACACCCUCCCCCAAUGCAGGUUGGCAUUUUUUCUGCAAUUGGUAAUCUUAGAAAUUUGCCUGUAGCACCAAGAUGUUAAAUUAAGUUGCCAGGGUCACAGUCAGUAUGUAGUGGAGCUUCGAUUUGAAAUUGAACCUCCCGGAAUGUGAGGCCAAUUCUUUAUCUCUUGACCCAGGCUGCCUCUCAUUAUACUAUUGCAGACCUGUGUAACUUGGCAGUAGGUUGGGGCCAAAAUUAAAAUAGGCUAAACUUCUUCAGGCUACAGAUAGGUUAGACUAGAGACAGACUGAUGAUGGAGGUUGCUGCAGGUCACGGGACAAACAGAAGGAUACACAGUGGCAACCCAUUUUUUGGGGGGCCACCCAACAUCCUUGGGUGGCUACCCAACAUCCUUGGGUGGCUGGAAGCAGCCUGCAGGCCAUAUGUUGUGCAAGCCUGUCCUAUUAUUUUUUUCAGGGCUAAUUCAGAGAACCUCCAAGUGUAGCAGAGGGGCUUUAAGGAAGACUAAGCUGAAAUUUACAGUCAACUUAGAGAACAAGGUAUGUAUCUAGUUUGUCUUCUAGUGCCAGGAGUGUGUAGUGACUCACACUGCAUUAUUUGAUGAUUCAUGAUGGGGGAAGAGAAGGGAUGAACCAGAGUUGAGUAAUUUGUACAAUAGAGAGGCAUGAGGGGGAGGGAAGAGAAAAGGCAAGAUUAGCAGAACAAGAAAAGGAAAAAGAAGCUUGAUAGGGUUGGAUUUUUGCUUUUCUGAGAAGAAACCAUUCCUUACAGCAGUCUCAGAGUCUGAGCUAGAUUCAUGUGACCACAGCAAUGCACUCAUCUGAUGAGUGCAGUGGUUUGAGAGGAGAGAAAAGGAAAUGGGUUACAUUUCCUCUGACACAAACACCAACCCAAGAUGCUUGAAGUUCACUUCCCAAAGAGUUGUAUUAUGGAAACAGUUCCCAUUACCCAGGGUCACAGGCCAGUGCACUGCAGAGGUAGACUUUGAACCCAGGCUGUCCUGAUUCUGAUGCCAAUUUUAUUCACUAUUCGUCGUGGAUUCAUGAAAAGAUCCUUCCUGUGCCACAGAGCUCUUCAGCAGAACACAUGAAUAGGAGCAAAGAAGGGCCGAAACACCUACAUCUGUGCUAAAACAAAAUGAAGUCCUUCGGAUGCCCAUCAAUUGGGGAAUGGCUGAGCAAGUUGUGGUACAUGAAUGUAAUGGAGUACUAUUGUGCUAUAAGAA